CAGCCGCCGCGGUAAUACGUAGGUGGCAAGCGUUGUCCGGAAUUAUUGGGCGUAAAGGGCUCGCAGGCGGUUUCUUAAGUCUGAUGUGAAAGCCCCCGGCUCAACCGGGGAGGGUCAUUGGAAACUGGGAAACUUGAGUGCAGAAGAGGAGAGUGGAAUUCCACGUGUAGCGGUGAAAUGCGUAGAGAUGUAGAGGAACACCAGUGGCGAAGGCGACUCUCUGGUCUGUAACUGACGCUGAGGAGCGAAAGCGUGGGGAGCGAACAGGAUUAGAGACCCCAGUAGUCCCUGUCUCUUAACA
rnacentral:rRNA from 1 species